rnacentral:rRNA from 1 species
AUUGAACGCUGGCGGCAUGCCUUACACAUGCAAGUCGAACGGCAGCGGACCUUCGGGUGCCGGCGAGUGGCGAACGGGUGAGUAAUAUAUCGGAACGUACCUUUCAGUGGGGGAUAACGUAGCGAAAGUUACGCUAAUACCGCAUAUUCUGUGAGCAGGAAAGCAGGGGAUCGCAAGACCUUGCGCUGAUUGAGCGGCCGAUAUCAGAUUAGCUAGUUGGUGAGGUAAAGGCUCACCAAGGCGACGAUCUGUAGCGGGUCUGAGAGGAUGAUCCGCCACACUGGAACUGAGACACGGUCCAGACUCCUACGGGAGGCAGCAGUGGGGAAUUUUGGACAAUGGGCGCAAGCCUGAUCCAGCCAUGCCGCGUGGACGAUGAAGGCCUUGGGUCGUAAAGUCCUUUUUGAGGGGAAGAGGAAGGACGGGUACCCUCAGAAUAAGCCUCGGCUAACUACGU